rnacentral:rRNA from 1 species
CGAACUGUGCAAACGUUAUUCGGAAUCACUGGGCUUAAAGGGUGCGUAGGCGGCUUGUUAAGUAGGGUGUGAAAUCCCCCGGCUCAACCGGGGAAUUGCGCCCUAAACUGGCGAGCUGGAGUGAGAUAGGGGGUGUGUGGAACUUCCAGUGGAGCGGUGAAAUGUGUUGAUAUUGGAAGGAACGCCAGUGGCGAAAGCGACACACUGGGUCUCAACUGACGCUGAGGCACGAAAGCCAGGGGAGCAAACGGGAUUAGAUACCCCGGUAGUCCUGGCCGUAAACGAUGAGCACUAGCUGGGGGGCGGUUCGUCCGUUCCCCAACGUAGCAAAAGUGUGAAGUGCUCCGCCUGGGGGAGUAGUGGUCGCAAGGCUG